rnacentral:rRNA from 1 species
GACGAACGCUGGCGGCGUGCUUAACACAUGCAAGUCGAACGGCAAGGCCCUUCGGGGUACACGAGUGGCGAACGGGUGAGUAACACGUGGGUGAUCUGCCCUGCACUUCGGGAUAAGCCUGGGAAACUGGGUCUAAUACCGGAUAGGACCACUGCCUGCAUGGGUGGUGGGGGAAAGCUUUUGCGGUGUGGGAUGGGCCCGCGGCCUAUAAGGUUGUUGGUGGGGUGAUGGCCUAACAAGGCGACGACGGGUAGCCGGCCUGAGAGGGGGACCGGCCACACUGGGACUGAGGUACGGCCCAGACUCCUACGGGAGGCAGCAGUGGGGAAUAUUGCACAAUGGGCGCAAGCCUGAUGCAGCGACGCCGCGUGAGGGAUGACGGCCUUCGGGUUGUAAACCUCUUUCAGCACCGACGAAGCGCAAGUGACGGUAGGUGCAGAAGAAGGACCGGCCAACUACGUGCCAGCCGCCGCCGUAA